rnacentral:rRNA from 1 species
GUCCACGCCCUAAACGUUGAAUACUCGGUCUUGGCGAUAUACAGUCAGGGCCCAAGCGAAAGCGUUAAGUAUUCCACCUGGGAAGUACGUUCGCAAGAAUGAAACUCAAAGGAAUUGACGGGGCCCGCACAAGCGGAGGAGCAUGUGGUUUAAUUCGAUGAUACGCGAGAAACCUUACCUGGGCUUGAAUGUGAGUGACCGAUGCCGAAAGGUGUCUUCCCCGCAAGGGGCACAAACAAGGUGCUGCAUGGCUGUCGU